GGAAACAUUUUAAAUAAAAACAUUGAAUCUUUCUAAUAAGAAACAUCUAGGAUCAGUUUCCCUGCACCUGGAUUAAAGCUACACCCGGAUUAAAGCUACACCCUGAUUACACCUGGAUUAAAAACAAAUCACGAUUUACUCAAAAAGUUAAAUGUUACCUAGUAGGUGUGUGAGAGCAGUGUACAGUCUUCCCUAGUGGGUGUGUGAGAGCAGUGUACAGGUGUGUGAGAGCAGUGUUCAGAUCUUCUCUAGUGGGUGUGAGAGCAGUGUUCAGAUCUUCCUAGUGGGUGUGUGAGAGCAGUGUUCAGGUCUUCCCCAGUGGGUGUGUGAGAGCAGUGUUCAGAUCUUCCCUAGUGGGUGUGUGAGAGCAGUGUUCAGGUCUUCCCUAGUGGGUGUGUGAGAGCAGUGUACAGGUCUUCCCUAGUGGGUGUGUGAGAGCAGUGUACAGGUCUUCCCUAGUGGGUGUGAGAGAGCAGUGUACAGGUCUUCCCUAGUGGGUGUGAGAGCAGUGUUCGGGUCUUCCCUAGUGGGUGUGUGAGAGCAGUGUUCAGGUCUUCCCUAGUGGGUGUGAGAGCAGUGUUCAGGUCUUCCCUAGUGGGUGUGAGAGCAGUGUUCAGGUCUUCCCUAGUGGGUGUGAGAGCAGUGUUCAGGUCUUCCCUAGUGGGUGUGAGAGCAGUGUUCAGGUCUUCCCUAGUGGGUGUGAGAGCAGUGUUCAGGUCUUCCCUAGUGGGUGUGAGAGCAGUGUUCAGGUCUUCCCUAGUGGGUGUGAGAGCAGUGUUCAGGUCUUCCCUAGUGGGUGUGAGAGCAGUGUUCAGGUCUUCCCUAGUGGGUGUGAGAGCAGUGUACAGGUCUUACCU